GAUGAACGCUGGCGGCGUGCCUAAUACAUGCAAGUCGAGCGAACAGACGAGGAGCUUGCUCCUUUGACGUUAGCGGCGGACGUGUGAGUAACACGUGGAUAACCUACCUAUCAUACUGGGAUAACUUCGGGAAACCGGAUCUAAUACCGUAUAAUAUAUUGAACCGCAUUGUUCAAUAGUGAAAUACGGUUUUUCUGUCUCUUAUAGAUGGAUCGGCGCCGAAUUAGAUAGUUGGGAAGGUAACGGCUUACCAAGGCAACGAUGCGUAGCCGACCUGAGAGGGUGAUCGGCCACACUGGAAGUGAGACACGGUCCAGACUCCUACGGGAGGCAGCAGUAGGGAAUCUUCCGCAAUGGGCGAAAGCUUGACGGAGCAACGCCGAGUGAGUGAUGAAGGUCUUCGGAUCGUAAAACUCUGUUAUUAGGGAAGAACAAAUGUGUAAGUAAAUAUGCACGUAUUGACGGUACCUAAUCAGAAAGCCACGGCUAACUACGUG
rnacentral:rRNA from 1 species